UUGCCCAACGGGGCUGUGGAUACCUACCUUUUAAUUCCUUUUU
rnacentral:ncRNA from 3 species